GGGAACUGUAAAAACGCCCAAUCAUGCUGAGAGACUAUACACUAUUACUGACCAGUACCUAUACAGUGUUUACUAAAGUCAUUAUGUCUGAAGGCUAGAGGCACCAUCAAUCUUAGCAUGAAUUUAGCUGGAGCUAUGGAAUAAAGAUGGUGAAAGUAGAAGAGCAGAAAUGGACCUGCGUCUGCAUCUUGCCUCUGAUUUUCCAUCUCUGUGCGACCUUGGCCUCGAGACUUGCUCUCCCUAAAGCAUUGAAGAAAGAGUAGUUCCACAGAUUUACGUGGAAACAAACAACAAUGGAAGAGACAAAGAAGAAGGAAUUUUAGUCGAAAUUUCUUUACUUUAGAAGACUUGGAAGUAUGCUAAUUUGAAUGAAGAAUUCACGACUAUUUAGUACCAACCUGCCAACAAGCGUCUGACUUUGAUUUCAUACGUGAAAAGGCUAGACCUUUUCAAGGCAUGGAUUACUGAGGUUAACACAAGCAUCCACACAUUUUAAUCAUAUUUGAAAAAUAGAGCCCAACUUUUACAUGAAGUUGAGAUACAUCAAUUUCCUAAAGGAUGACCAUGAAGAUUUAUGAUUUCUUAACUUCUUAAAGCAUUUUUAAAAAGAGAUGGAGAGUGCAAGAAAAGGGAGAUUUUAUAUAUUUGAUGCAUUUUAUAUCUUAAAAUAUUCAAUUUAAGUCAUGUUUAUAUUUCAGUUCAGUUUACUUUGUAUUUUAGGAAUUGAUGGCCAGAGAUAAGGGGAAAAACUCCCCUUUAUUCACUGUGUGGGCCUUAGGUAAUUCGUUAUAAGGCAGUGAAUUUACAUUUCAGAUUCAAGAGAUGGAAAUCAGUCUAAAAGGUUGCUCUGUUCGUAAUAACAUUCAUAAAGAUUCUGAUACUCCCUCAUUGCUUUUUCAGCAGCAGCAAGUAUAGUUUCUUUUGUUUCAAAAGUCUGUAUAAUAAAGAUCACUCAGCUACUUAAGAGGGGUGGACAAAAAAAGGCUCACCCAUAGUCCAAUUUGGUCCCUGCUUUCUAGGGUCAAGAUGAUCACAUUCUCUCUUUUGUGACUGAGACAACUGACAGUGAUUACACCUAGUCCUAUGUGUUUGUUUUUUAAUUUGGGGAACUAAGAAGUAUCUCUGUUCUAGAAAUGAACUAUGAAAGAGAAUGCAAAGACAACUUUUACAGAUAAAGAAAAGGAUAAAAUGACAUACUCUUGCUGUUGAUGUAAAUUAUUUUGGGGGUAGGGAUGAAAUGGACAAGACUCCAAGGCCCAUAGAACCAUGAUUCUUGCUGUACGAAAAACUCAAGACAAUUUAGCAAACCCAUCCGUUCCACUAAGAAUGAUACACUUGAAAGUAACACAUGGCCAAAAAGAUCUGUGGCUUGAAAAUGCAAUAUUCUUCAAUGGUCUACUGGCAUCUUCACAUUCUUUACUUAGAUUAGUUCCAUAAUACUCUGCAAACUUAUGCUAUUGAAAUUAUCCUCAAUUUUUAUUAGAAACAUUUGAAAUUUUAAUUAAAAAUUGAGUUAGUUCAUUCUAAGGGUACAACUCGAUUUUAGUAAGAUCCAUGCUCAUUUUAGUUAGGUUUAUAAAUAUUUACUUAUUUAUUUAUUGACUUACUUAAAAAAGACAACCAACAAAAACGAAAACAAACCAAUCACCCUUCAUUUGAAUAUUCGUUCAUUACUUUUGUAUGGAGGAGCAGCACGUGGGUAAUCUAGAAAACUCCCUAUUUUUUCUUUCCAUCAUAAUGCUGGGAAUUUUUUCCCUUUGUUUUUAUUUUCUUUUAUACAUUGUCAAUACUUAUCACAAAUACAGAUAAUUAUCAGACUGGUCUUUGUGCUACUAGCCAAAACUCAUUCUGUCAUUAUAUGUAAAACAUUACUAAAUUUCUGUGCAGCAAUUUCCCUCCUUUAUCAUCAGCUAUUGUUGCAGCCAAGAAUAAAAUCAAAGU